CCGAAAGGGUGACGAAGCGACGCCGCGUGGGUGAGGAAGGCCUUCGGGUUGUAAAGCCCUGUCAGGAGUUAAGAAAUGUAAGUGCGCUAAUAUCGCAUUUAUUUGACGAAGGCUCCAAAGGAAGUCACGGCUAACUCUGUGCCAGCAGCCGCGGUAAUACAGAGGUGGCAAGCGUUGUUCGGAAUUAUUGGGCGUAAAGAGCACGUAGGUGGGUUUGUAAGUCAGAUGUGAAAGCCUUCUGUUCAACGGAAGAAUUGCAUCUGAAACUGCGAGUCUUGAGUGUAGGAGGGGAGAAUGGAACUUCUGGUGGAGCGGUGAAAUGCGUAGAUAUCAGAAGGAACGCCGGCGGCGAAAGCGAUUCUCCGGCCUAUUACUGACACUCAGUGUGCGAA
rnacentral:rRNA from 1 species